AUACGGAGGGUGCGAGCGUUAAUCGGAAUUACUGGGCGUAAAGCGCGCGUAGGCGGCUUAUUAAGUCAGAUGUGAAAUCCCCGGGCUCAACCUGGGAACUGCAUCUGAUACUGGUAAGCUAGAGUUUUGGAGAGGGAAAUAGAAUUUCAGGUGUAGCGGUGAAAUGCAUAGAGAUCUGAAGGAAUACCAGUGGCGAAGGCGACUUCCUGGCCAAAGACUGACGCUGAGGUGCGAAAGCGUGGGUAGCAAACGGGAUUAGAAACCCCAGUAGUCC
rnacentral:rRNA from 1 species